AUGGAAAUAUACACAUAUAAAGGAUACAUAAGCUCUAGAUUAUGAUUUCCAACCUAUUUUAGUAUAUACCUAUAUAUAAAGGAUACAUAAGCUCUAGAUUAAGAUUUCCAACCUAUUUUAAUGCACUUGUGUGGAUUUACUUGAAAUAUCCAUGAAAGUGAAAACUUGGGAGUUAAAGGGACAAUCAAUGGCACCUCCAUUCCUACAGUUUUUUAGGCAAAAACACUUGGGAACCAUUCUGUACUCUUUUUCUACAGUCCACAUCCCAGCCCAUCAACUCUACCUUUAAAGUCUAUCCAACAUCCUUCGUGGCUCAUCCCCUCCACCACUGUUACCGAUUUGUUUUUGUGGGGGGUUUUCUCCACUCAGACUAUGGCAAUCACCUCCUUGUUGAUCUGACUCAGCUUUGCUGUCCUUUAUCUUGACAAAAAGAGAGACUUUUAAAAUGUGUCAGCUCAAACUGAUCAUCUGCUCUGAAACUUCCAGUGGCUCAUAUCCCACUCAGUAGAAUCCAGAGCCUUUACUAUGGGCUUUGGGAUGUGGGACCCUGCCAUGCCUCCUGGACUCCUGCACUUCUCCUUGUCACUCACUUGAUAACUGUCCCAUAGGCCCUCUUUACUAUUCCUCAAAACUGCCAGUUCACCUGUCACCUCAGGACCCAUGCCAUUUCUCUCAACCUAGAAUACUCCACCCCCAGCUAUCAGCAUGGCUCCCCACCCAUCUCCUUCAGGACCUACUUGAACUGCAUCUUCUCCAUGAGCCUGUCCUGACAUUUACCAAGCACCUCCUCCUCUGUCCCACUCUAUGCCCUGACAUGCUUUUCCCCCCUGAAGUAGGACAGAAGAGGCUGGACACCAGAGGGAUUUUCAGGAAGCAGGUUUACUGACUGCAGGUUCAGGGGUGGCUCUCAACUAGGAAUUCUUCCUCUAAACAAACAUUUUGGAAAUUCUUUAAACUUUAUACCCAGGGUAUGUUUGGGGGUGAGGAGGGCUUGAAGGUUCACAGGCCAAGUGCUCUCUUUUCCAUCCCCUAGUACCAGAGAUAGGCUUCACAAGUUAUUUUUACCAAGAAAACAGGGAUAAUAUCUUUUACAACAAGCUUGCAGACUCGACUUUGUCACACCUUUUGUGUGCAAACCCAUCAUUUGCAAGAAAGAGGAAAGUACCAACCACAGACAUCCUGCUGAUUUGACAACAGGGGAAGCUUAUGGCAAGGGUCUGGGGGGAUGGGAUCUCUGGCCUGCUUCACCAUAAUGUUUAUAACCACCUGCUCUCAUGUAUAUUGCAUGCCUAGUCGUUCGUUGUUCAUCACCCUACACCGGAAUGUAAAUACCGUGAGGUCGAGGACUUUGUCCGUCACCCAGCACCUAGUAUUAUUAAUAUUACAAAGUGUAUCUUGGGCCAUCAAUAAAAUAUUUGUCAUAUAAGUUUAUUGAACAAAAUACGAGACUGUAUUCCUCGAUUGAGUGUAAAUAAUAGUUAGAUAUUGAAAAUAAAGUGUUAGCUAAGAACGGUGGUGCCCUCCUGUAAUCCCAGCAACUCUGGAGGCUGAAGGCAGGCCUUCCUAAAUUAGAGGAUUGCUUCAGCAACUUAGGGAGACUCGGUGUCAAAAUUAAAAAUUAAAGGCACAGUAGGAAGGCCAGCAGAAGGUGCGACAGCGAGGUGGUAAAUCUUCCCAGCUGCUCACAGCACUGUGGAGCAGGAUCCCCAGAGGAGCCC
rnacentral:lncRNA from 1 species